CACCGCAGAUUUAGCAAUUGCACUUGUGAAUAUGUACAUGUCUGUUAUUUAUUAAUGACCCUGUUUGGCCUAGCGUUUAUUGUUUUCUUUUCCCUUUAGCACUGUUCACAUUAUAGUCUGUGAACUAUCGACCUGCUUCAGUGUCUCUCACUCUGCACGUGGGCCAGCUCCGCACCGGGUGACAAGAGCAGAAAAUGAAGAUGAUGAUACUUGCUCUCAUUGCCCUCGUUUCCCUCAGCCUGGCAACUCUUGGUGAGGCAGAGGGGACAGAAGAUGGAAUCAACAGUGAACAGUCAAUCUUUGUACCACUCAGGGAGCUGAAGAAGAAAAAGCACUCGGAGAAAAAGGUUACAAAUUGCCGUCUGAUGUGUUGGUUAAAAAAGGUUAAUAAAGCCAUGAAAAGUAACUUGAAGAUGUUCCAUGCUCUCUUCGGAGGUGUUGUAUUGAAGAAGCACCCCGCUAAGUUACGUCAAUGAAAGUACAUUACCUCACAACACCGUCUCCUUUUCAAACAACUGAGAGCAAGAUGGUUGAAAUGUCACAGAGCACUCCCUCCAGUAACCAUUGCAAGAUCGUCUAAAAAGUAGUUGGAAAUUGGAAACAAAUAAAUAAA